rnacentral:rRNA from 1 species
GAUGAACGCUGGCGGCGUGCCUAAUACAUGCAAGUCGAGCGAACGGACGAGAAGCUUGCUUCUCUGAUGUUAGCGGCGGACGGGUGAGUAACACGUGGAUAACCUACCUAUAAGACUGGGAUAACUUCGGGAAACCGGAGCUAAUACCGGAUAAUAUUUUGAACCGCAUGGUUCAAAAGUGAAAGACGGUCUUGCUGUCACUUAUAGAUGGAUCCGCGCUGCAUUAGCUAGUUGGUAAGGUAACGGCUUACCAAGGCAACGAUGCAUAGCCGACCUGAGAGGGUGAUCGGCCACACUGGAACUGAGACACGGUCCAGACUCCUACGGGAGGCAGCAGUAGGGAAUCGUCCGCAAUGGGCGAAAGCCUGACGGAGCAACGCCGCGUGAGUGAUGAAGGUCUUCGGAUCGUAAAACUCUGUUAUUAGGGAAGAACAGAUGUGUAAGUAACUGUGCACAUCUUGACGGUACCUAAUCAGAAAGCCACGGCUAACUACGUG